CUCUGCUUGGUCUACGCUUCUGUUCAUGAAUUUGUGCUCGUGCUGUACCUGCAAGCAGAGUCUAUCAUUCGAGGCUCUCACUGAGAGCAAAAACAAACUACGCUCUUCACUCAAGAAAAGCCCUGCUGGGCGCACGACUCGUCCAGCAAAGUGAACAACAACUACCGCAGCAGUGGCGACGGCAGCGCAACGAUGGCCUCGGAUGAAGUUUAAUUGAAGCGCAACUUGCGUAAUUAUUUUUCAUCGUCCGAACAAUGCUUCCGCAUCCACUGUCCGACUGUGGGGAUGCUGACCUCGGGUAAACUUUUAGUCUUUAUCACGAUGAAAAAAAAUUGUGUCUCAUAAGUUAUAUAUCCUAACGGAAGUAUUUGAAAAAGUUGUGUGAUGCUCAAACUCCAGCAAGAAGCGGGAAACUCGAGUUGAAAAAUUUAAUAAGAGAUUACGGAAAGUUUAGGUUACGUUGAUACUCUUGUAAAAAAACCAGCAUUAUUGCACACGAAAAUUUUUAUUUGAGAGGGAUAAUUCAUAUAUGUACGCUCUGCAACCAAUACCCAUUAACAUCAACGGUUUAUCGCAUAUGUUACUCUAUCUGAACUGAGGCAUAUUUGGAUAUGAAGCUACGGCCUAUAAAUCGUUGUAUUCAAAUUAAACAUACUACAAGUUUUUCUUUGCCUGAUAACCAUGAUUUUACGGUUUGUAAAUAUUUUUCGGGGUAUAAGAGCUGUAACCACGGCUUGAACGUGUGCUAAUGCUUCAAUUAAAUAUGUUUCAAGUAAGUUUUCCCGAGGUCAGUAUUUUUAAGGUCUUUGCGUUUCUUAACUCCCUCUUCUCUGCUCUGCUGCAACGCGUGUUCAUUGAGAUGUUGCCCGCCUUAACAUGCGUCCAUUACUUACAUUAUUUACAGUAGAAGGGAGCUGUGCUGGACUAUUUCUGUGUUUGGAAUACGUCCUCGUGUGUCGCAACCUUCUUGUUCUUUCGCUGCACCGAAGUAAUGGUGAUUAUGUUGCAUAUCAAUUAUUGAUUUCAAUAUCAGAAGAAAUAGCUUUCUAUGAAAUUUAAACGAUUGAAUCCCCAUGAUAUUAAAUGUCCCAGCAGCAUCUGACGCUACAGUAUAUUAAUACAAAAAAUGAAAUUCAUCUAGUACUGAAAUUCUUUCUGAACGUGAGGAAAGUGACUCUACCAUGUUAUUUAACUGGAAAGCUCUACCAUGCUUGGCUAAGUCUUUUUCAUGUCACUCUAAUUUCAAUCUACUGCGAUAAAGCCUUAGUUACCCGAUUGUGAUUUGCUGAUUUAGUGAGACGAUCUUGAUUUUAUAUUGAAAUGGUUUUAAACUCCGUCAUUUAUUCAUCAUAACUAUAUUGUCUGCAACUUGAGUUAACCAUGUGUAUUUGACUUGCAGGUUGCCCUGAAUUUUUGAACAAAUCGUACAAUUUUUUGGCCCGUUAGAACUUUUUAAUAAUAAUGCUGGAUGUUCAGUAUUGUGUAAUUCAUUACGGUAAAUUUUAAAUAAUCUCCGUUUUCAUGGUGCUAAAUCAUUUAUAUAUCAGAAUUGUUAUAAUUCACACAAUUGCUCAUUGAGUGAUUUUAUGUGUAGACCAAUUGGCUGAGAACUUUGUAAUCUUGCAUCCGGAAUAUAGCAGACAAAAUUGUGUUGGAUUAAAGAGCCAUUCUUAGCUCCCUACAGCGCUGCUAUGCAGGCACUUGGCUGAGCUUUCUUUCCGUGUGCAUAUGUCUAAAUAGCUUAUGAUUUGUGUUGGGAGUAACAUUUGUUAUUGUAAUCACUGUUGCCGUGAAUCGCCCCUUUUUUCGUCUCUGCAGUUGCUCGUCGACAAUGUUUGACAACAAUGACGGAUUGUUACUAUCAUGUUGCGAUGUCGUUCUUGUUCUCACCACACGUGCCUUUAAUCGUAAUGCCUCAAGAUGCCUUUUUCACGUCGUGACUUACCUACCACUCAGAUAAGGUGUUCAUUUUAAAAGUCAUCCAGGAGAAUACACUGUUUAUCGCUGAGUUUCGAUAGGCCGGAUCUGUCAUACUUGAACUUUUUUUUUAGAUACGGUGCUGGGAUUUUCUUAGCUAUUAAGAGCUGCGAAUUAAGUCUCAUGAUUUGCGAGAGUGCAGAGAGUUUAAUCUUAGAACUCUUUGGACCAGUAAUACUUUUUAAUCUAGUCUUUUCAAAACUAUGUUAUUUAUUGAAAGCAUAUAGAUAUUUGUUCUACACUUUGCCCGUAGGUUUAUGAGUCGCCUGAACUAUAUAUGAAAGUACAGUUCAGUAUGGGUACAAAUUUGCACUUUUUCUGACAAAGCAAGUAGUGUUGACAAUAUGCCAUUAGUAUUUGAGAUGUUAUCGGUCAAAUGAAGAGCAGUUAUACUUGAGCGUACACGUUUAAAUCUUAUACUCACCCUUAAUGUGUUUACAAGACGCAUGAAGAAUUGUUCAAGAAUAUAAAAUUCGUCCAUAAGAUGACACAAUCAAUUAUUUCAGUGCGUUAAGGCUUAAUUGUGGCUGAAUUGAUUUUUAAUAUUGGUCCUGCGAAGUGCCUCAGUCCAUGCCUUCUAUAUUUGUACUUGCCUAAUCCUUUGUAGUACUUGCCUAAUCCUAUUUACGAGUGAUGUUCGCAGCAAUGUUUUACUAACUAAUCGAUGCUAAUCGUCUUCGGUGCAAAGGCAGAACCAUUUUAGAAUGAAUUGGUUGUGACCGUGAAUUUGCGGGAUGAAACUUAUUUCUACAGUGAUGACCAUUACAAAUGAAUAAUUAGUAUGACCAGGUUUGGAAUGUGUGGCUAGUCGUUUAUUUAUUCUCAAUGAAUUUCAUUCGCGAUUAAUCAGAAUUUUUUCUCUGCUUAAAAUGCUAAGUUUACAUCGAAUGCUGUUAUUUGUGUAUUCCCUGUAGACGUGUUUAUUUUAAUUCUCGUAAAAUUGAAAUUGCUCGAUAACCGUCACAAAUAUGGUUGUAAAUGACUCGUCCUGUCUUGAUUACCUUUUCUGAAUGUUUGAUCGGUUGUGUUCAGGAACUGUGUAUCCUGGUGAGACUCGUUGUUAGCGUACAUGUAAAAAAAAGUAUCUUUACUCCGAUUGUGCCAAAGUAUGGAACAUAACGUUAGGUGCCGUAGCCUUACAACCCCCAUUGCUGCUUACGUUUCUUGAAGUAAUAAAUCAUAAUUUUUAUCCUAAAAAUAACUUUCACAGGAUGUUAGUCAGGAAAAAAGAUAUAUCUGCACUGGAAAUCCAUUGACUAAAUUAGAUCGUUGCCAAAAAUCUCGUGCUUGAAUUAAUGCAUGAUAACUUUAGAGCUAACUAUUUAAUUCGCUAUCUUAGUGGCCCCUUUUCGUGUCGCACCAUAUUAGUGUCCUAAACAUGACUAUUCGAUUGGCAUUGAUUUUCUCCGAUUUUACCCAUAAGCUGUUGUGUGCAAGGACUUACUACAUAGCACCUCCGACGAUAAAAAAAAUUAGCGAACAUAGAUACUCUGAAUUGGUAAAUGCUUCAUUAUCCUAUCAGUUUGAGAAUUGAGCAAUUAAUUUUGCGCUGGAGCAAUUACUUACACUGAUUCAGUUUUACUUCUGUUAAUGUAUUAUUUGUGUAAAGAUGUAAUUUUGCUUUGUAUUUAUUUUAUAAAAAUGUUGAGAUCUCGA